AGAGCGAACGCUGGCGGUAGGCCUAACACAUGCAAGUCGAACGGCAGCACAGUGGUAGCAAUACCAUGGGUGGCGAGUGGCGGACGGGUGAGGAAUACAUCGGAAUCUACCUUUUCGUGGGGGAUAACGUAGGGAAACUUACGCUAAUACCGCAUACGCCCUUCGGGGGAAAGCCGGGGAUCGCAAGACCUGGCGCGGAUAGAUGAGCCGAUGUCGGAUUAGCUAGUUGGUGAGGUAAUGGCUCACCAAGGCGACGAUCCGUAGCUGGUCUGAGAGGAUGAUCAGCCACACUGGAACUGAGACACGGUCCAGACUCCUACGGGAGCAGCAGUGGGGAAUAUUGGACAAGU
rnacentral:rRNA from 1 species